GAACAAAUCAGAUUGAGUAAAAAGAUUCAAGUCAACAAUGGCUUUUCAGACUGGCUUUACUCUCCUUAACUUCAUAUCACAAAACAGUAAUAAUGUUUUUGAGGAAAUUAGUGACAUUAUCUCAAUCUGUAUUUCUUUGGUAAUUGUCGAACAUAAUAGAUUAAAGAUGUCCAGAACACAUGGUUCUUGGAUGGUUUGGCUACUUUCAGCUGCAUGCUUUACACAGUUUCAGGCAUGGUUCCUCUUCUCGGUUUUCCUGCUACAUCACAUUUCUCAUCUCACUGAAGAGUAUGUAAUGAACUCCCUUGAAGUAAAUUGAAAAGGCUGAUGGGGUAUAGGAUUCGGUCGAGGCCCAUAAACUUUGAUCUGCCGAACAUGAGUAUCCCUUCCGUUAAGAUGAUUCGAUAGCACAGCAAUUUGUAACAUAAAUGUAUUGACAAAAGUUUCCCUGCCAAAAAAAUUUGUAUAAAGGUAGUUACCAACCGACAAGCUCCACAGUCUUGAUCUCCCUCAAGUUGUGAAAUCCAUCGCCAGUGCGAAUAGAGAUCUUACUGGGGGUAUAGCUC
rnacentral:misc_RNA from 1 species